AGAGUUUGAUCAUGGCUCAGGACGAACGCUGGCGGCGUGCCUAACACAUGCAAGUCGAGCGGAGACAUUGAGUAGCAAUACGAGGAUGUUUUAGCGGCGGACGGGUGAGUAACGCGUGAGCAACCUGUCCCAAACAGGGGGAUAACGAACCGAAAGGUUCACUAAUACCGCAUAAGACCACGGAGUCACAUGGCUUUGAGGUCAAAGGAGCAAUCCGGUUUGGGGUGGGCUCGCGUCUGAUUAGCUAGUUGGUGAGGUAAAGGCCCACCAAGGCGACGAUCAGUAGCCGACCUGAGAGGGUGAUCGGCCACAUUGGAACUGAGACACGGUCCAAACUCCUACGGGAGGCAGCAGGUGGGGAAUAUUGGGCAAUGGGGGGAAAAACCCCUGACCCAGCAACGCCGCGUGAAGGAAGAAGGUUUUCGGAUCGUAAACUUCUGUCCUUGGUGAAAAUAAUGAUGGUAGCCAAGAAGGAAGCCCCGGCUAACUACGUGCCAGCCGCAGC
rnacentral:rRNA from 1 species